CUAUUUCUUGUAUCAUCUUGACCAAGAUUACAUGCACACAUAUAAUUUGCAACUAGCAUAAUAUCAUAUUAUGCUAGUUGCAAAUUAUAUGUGUGCAUGUAAUCUUGGUCAAGAUGAUACAAGAAAUAG